CGAAGGGGCUAGCGUUGUUCGGAAUUACUGGGCGUAAAGCGCACGUAGGCGGGUUUGUAAGUAGAGGGUGAAAUCCCAGGGCUCAACCCUGGAACUGCCUUCUAAACUGCAAGCCUGGAGGUCAGGAGAGGCGAGUGGAAUACCGAGUGUAGAGGUGAAAUUCGUAGAUAUUCGGUGGAACACCAGUGGCGAAGGCGACUCGCUGGACUGAUACUGACGCUGAGGUGCGAAAGCGUGGGGAGCAAACAGGAUU
rnacentral:rRNA from 1 species